rnacentral:rRNA from 1 species
CCUACGGGUGGCAGCAGUGGGGAAUAUUGCACAAUGGGCGCAAGCCUGAUGCAGCCAUGCCGCGUGUGUGAAGAAGGCCUUCGGGUUGUAAAGCACUUUCAGCGGGGAGGAAGGCGUUAAGGUUAAUAACCUUAUCGAUUGACGUUACCCGCAGAAGAAGCACCGGCUAACUCCGUGCCAGCAGCCGCGGUAAUACGGAGGGUGCAAGCGUUAAUCGGAAUUACUGGGCGUAAAGCGCACGCAGGCGGUCUGUCAAGUCGGAUGUGAAAUCCCCGGGCUCAACCUGGGAACUGCAUUCGAAACUGGCAGGCUAGAGUCUUGUAGAGGGGGGUAGAAUUCCAGGUGUAGCGGUGAAAUGCGUAGAGAUCUGGAGGAAUACCGGUGGCGAAGGCGGCCCCCUGGACAAAGACUGACGCUCAGGUGCGAAAGCGUGGGGAGCAAACAGGAUUAGAUACCCGUGUAGUC